UUCGAUUCUGGCUCAGGAUGAACGCUGGCGGUGUGCCUAAUACAUGCAAGUCGAUCGGGCGUAGCAAUACGUCAGAGGCGUACGGGUGAGUAACACGUAGGUAACCUACCUUUAAGACUGGGAUACCCAGACGAAAGUUUGGCUAAUACCGGAUAACAACAUUUGAGACAUCUCUUUUGUUUGAAAGGCGCUGCAAGGCGCCACUUUUAGAUGGACCUGCGUCGCAUUAGCUAGUUGGUGAGAUAAAAGCCCACCAAGGCUGGGAUGCGUAGCCGAUCUGAGAGGAUGACCGGCCACAAUGGGACUGAGACACGGCCCAUACUCCUACGGGAGGCAGCAGUAGGGAGUUUUCGGCAAUGGGGGAAACCCUGACCGAGCAACACCGCGUGAGUGAUGAAAGGUCUUCGGAUCGUAAAGCUCUGUUACGAGGGACGAAUGAUCGCUUUAGGAAAUGAGAGCGGUUUGACGGUACCUCGCCAGAAAGCGACGGCUAACUACGUGCCAGCAGCCGC
rnacentral:rRNA from 1 species